rnacentral:rRNA from 1 species
AUUGAACGCUGGCGGCAGGCCUAACACAUGCAAGUCGAGCGGAUGAAGGGAGCUUGCUCCUGGAUUCAGCGGCGGACGGGUGAGUAAUGCCUAGGAAUCUGCCUGGUAGUGGGGGAUAACGUCCGGAAACGGGCGCUAAUACCGCAUACGUCCUGAGGGAGAAAGUGGGGGAUCUUCGGACCUCACGCUAUCAGAUGAGCCUAGGUCGGAUUAGCUAGUUGGUGGGGUAAAGGCCUACCAAGGCGACGAUCCGUAACUGGUCUGAGAGGAUGAUCAGUCACACUGGAACUGAGACACGGUGCAGACUCCUACGGGAGGCAGCAGUGGGGAAUAUUGGACAAUGGGCGAAAGCCUGAUCCAGCCAUGCCGCGUGUGUGAAGAAGGUCUUCGGAUUGUAAAGCACUUUAAGUUGGGAGGAAGGGCAGUAAGUUAAUACCUUGCUGUUUUGACGUUACCAACAGAAUAAGCACCGGCUAACUUCGUG